rnacentral:tRNA from 1 species
GCUGUGGCUCAGUGGGGUACAGCAUCUGCUUUACAUGCAGAAGGUCCCAGGUUCAAUCCAUCUAAAGAAUCCAGCAACA